GAUGAAGAACGCAGCGAAAUGCGAUAAGUAAUGUGAAUUGCAGAAUUCAGUGAACCAUCGAAUCUUUGAACGCACAUUGCGCCCGCCAGUAUUCUGGCGGGCAUGCCUGUCCGAGCGUCAUUACAACCCUCAGGCCCCCGGGCCUGGCGUUGGGGAUCGGCGGAGCCCCCCGUGGGCACACGCCGUCCCCCAAAUACAGUGGCGGUCCCGCCGCAGCUUCCAUCGCGUAGUAGCUAACACCUCGCGACUGGAGAGCGGCGCGGCCACGCCGUAAAACACCCAACUCUUCUGAAGUUGACCUCGAAUCAGGUAGGAAUACCCGCUGAACUUAAGCAUAUCAAUAAGCGGAGGA
rnacentral:misc_RNA from 1 species